GCUUGAAUAAAGAGAUUCGUUUUCGAUUAAUUAUAAGCAGCGAGUUUGAAAGAUACCUAAAUGGAGUACUACAGUUAUAUGAACAGAGCAUCCCAGUUAUCAACUUGACUUUCACGUUCCAUCGCCCAUCAUCAACAAGUCCAUGUGGAGGAAGUCGGUCGAAAGUCCUAAGUGGGCAACAAAACCGGCUCCUUUCCUGCAGAAAACACACACAUAGGCAAAGGGCAAGUCUAGUCCAGGAAUUGAGCUUUUGAUAGUGGAAAGCCCAUUGAGCUUUUUAAACAAUAGCCGGCGAAAGAGAGAGAUAGAGAGCAUUCAGGCCAGAGCGAGAUGGAAUAGUAUCCUUUCUAAGGGCCUGAUGAGUUGACUAUUUGCAAUGUUAGCAACAAAUGUAGGCAGAUCCUUUAAAACAACAAUGCCAAAACGAUGAUGCUACUAAAAGCGAGAGAACAUUACAAAAUAACAGAAAAAAAAGAACGGAAAAAACCGACAUAUGCUAACAAAAGCCUGCUGCUGUGCUUGGACAAUAAAGGGGGCGAAGUUGGUUUCGGGCGGCGAAAUGGGAGGCAUACCAACUGUGUAGAGUGCAUUAAACUGCGCCCAAGUCACACACUCGAGCGAUAGACAGAGACGGAGCGGGUAGAAUACAGCUAGAAAGAGAGGCAGAACUGUGCUGGUGCAUUUCCUAACACUAACUCUAAUGUGGCUAGAAAGCUAAAUAGGCGUGGGAAAUGCUAUAAAUAUCAAAUGUAUUAUUUGUAUUCAUCGUAUAUCUUUAUAUAUUAUAAAAGUAAGCAUUCUGUAAGAAAAGUAUGUUUCUGGUAUAUAGCGUUGUUUUAAACACCUUCGUAUAGUAUUUCAAAACUUCUGUGGUGCUAUAAAAAGUUUUUGUUACCCUUUUUAAAAAGGGUAUUUUAUUAUUUAAUCUAGUUGAUUUUUUCCCUAUUUUCGCUAUUAGAAAAAAUAAGUUAGGUUAGCUGGAAAAUAGCCAGAUUGCCAUUUCUGUCCGUUCGACGAUGGCGACAAUGACGACCAAGUCGAGUAGCUCGCGGAGACGGCGAUUGGCGGCAUAAAUCCAAUCCACUGGUGGAUUUGCAAAAAGCUUCAGCUACAUGCCAAAACCCGCGUGUACACACAUACACACACACACAUACACUCGUUGUCGAAAACAAUAAUAAAUCUCAGCAGCAGCGGCAGCAAUAUCAUAAAAAAAGUAAUGUAACAAAGGCAGUCGGAGGGAGGCCCAUGAAAAAGCGCAAAUAACUCAAAUAAAACGAAAGACAGAGAGUACAAGUAAAAUAAAAUGAAAUAGUCCCCACUAGCCCCCUUUCAUUUGAUCAUUCGUGGACUUCGAAACGAAUGGAAUCGAAUCGAAUCGAAAUCAGGAGUAGAUGCAACAAGAAGUGUAGGGCCAGUCAAAGUAAAUGGUCACGAAGGCGAAAGGAAAGUGGAAAUGGGAAAGAGUAAACUUCCGUUAGUGUGGCUAGUGUGGUCGGUGUGUAUUUUUUGUGUGUUGGCUGGUGUAUGAAAUAAUAACGGCGAGGGAUAAAGAGAAAGCAGAUAUGCAGGAUAUGAGUCUGGAUAUAUGUAUGUACAUACAUAUGUAUGUAGUGCAGACGCGUAUAGAAAUGAUAUAAAUGUGCAAAAUAAUAAUAAAAAUGGUGUAAUAAAAGCACAGUAAAGGUGUGUGCGCAACGCAAACAGCUAAAAACAACAACAAUCAGGAUGAGAUGUAGUCUUUGAUCAGAAUGAAAACACUGAAGUGUUGCAUACUUUUUGACAUCUCUUCAAGUGAAUUUGGGAGUUCUCUCAAUCUGUGAAUAUCUGUAAUAUCAUUCUUGCCCAUUUUUCAUGUACUUACUUAACGCUACAUAUCUUAACCAAGUUAAUCCUGCCAGUUGAGCUGUAUUGAUCCCAAUGCAUUCACCUCUGUGAGGAUUGGCCCACUAUGACAACAAUGCGAACCAAUGGGGUUGGGAGGUUGAAGAGGAAAUGCGAAAAUCCACACACCUUUGGUCCGGGUAUACAAAUGCAUUUCGCUAUAUGGCGGUCUGUUGUAUGCACAUACAUACGGGAGUGAUUGUUGGCCAACAGAUAUGACCCGACUCAUUUAGACCGGCAAAAGCGGCGGUGGCAACAAAGUUAGCCAUUUAUUCUGUGGCGACGGGAGAGGGGGUGGCUUAUAAUUAUAGCCGCUGUUGUAUUUGCUAAUGGGAUGGCCCUGAAUGGGCGUCGUUCGGGGCGUGGCAAUUAAAGCACCUUGUCCAAGUGCUGCGAUUUCGGGCGGCGUGCAAUCAGUUGAAUUGCAAUUGGCGAAUUUGGGAAUUGCGCUUUGCAGCCAUUAAUACUGUAUUUAUAGGGGUCUGGCACACGAAUGUGAUGACCCGACCUGAUGGAAUACGUUUGUGAUUCAAGGGAGUUAACACAAGAGUGUGGUUUAAGGUUAAACAACUUAAUAAUAUGCUUUAAUUUCGAUACAAAAGUGAAAUAUGAUAGGGUAGGAUAUGCGGAAGUAAACUGAAAUCAUUCGGAUUAACUGCAAAUACGAGCUCCUGUUCCUGGAGCUAUUCAAUCCAGUCUAUUAGCUUACGAUGCACAACUAUCAAUAAAUCGAACAUGCCAAAGCCAGCAGACCAAAAAGUAAGUUUGCCCUCGACUGUGUUUGCUUUCCAUGCGCCAGCACUACUCAAGCAAUUCAAUACCAACUCAAUAUUGGCUAACCCAAAAAAAAAGCAAAAUAAUAACAGAAUGAGGGGCCACAAAAAGUUGCAGUUUUCCAGUGACUUUUGGCCAAGUUGAGUGCGGCACAUCAACAGGAUUUCAUCUCUCUCUCUUGCCGGCGAAACACAUGGCGUAUGUGCGAUAUUACGUAUACGCAGUGGAGUUUCAACUGCACUUUAGACAUUUUGAUAAUUGCUUCGGAGUAAUGUUUUUCUUGUUGCUAGCUUAACUGCUCGACAGGGUCAACAUGUCAUACUAAUUUUAUGGCCUGGCCCCCAUCGCCAACCAAAAAGCAGCCAGCCAAGCAGCCAAAAGAGUCUGUCUCGUCUCGUCGCCCGGUCUGUGAACUGUGAAUGGCCUUUUGUGUAUACAGGAGCAGGAUUUGGGUGUGGGAAUGGGAAUCGGAAUGGGAAUAGGGCAUGGCCAGGAGGGAAGUUCGUUCAGUGUCCACUGGAGCUAGGGCUCUUCCGACGCCGACGAGAGAGUGGAGCAGAGAAAGGUUGCCCUGAGCUACGCAUUUUUGUGGUGUUACGGCGAGUUGAGCUCUUGUUUGUUCAUUCCAUGUGAGUUCUGUGAGUCCAGCCGCAGCAACUUCCAAGUGAAUGGACACCCAAUGAUCGGCCACAAAGUAUGGUAUAGUUUUCUCGACUCACCACUACUUUUUGGUGGAAAACAAAUGGGCUGGCACUCAAAAAUCGAUGCCAACUUAAAAAGUUCACUCGCAUAUGCUUCCGGCACACAUUUUUUGCUUUUGGCAAUGGAACUUUCUGGCACUGUUUUCAAUAAGCCAGUGAAUUCAUUGAUAUGGAAUAAAGUUCUUUAUUUCCUUGGCAAGAACGGCUGCACACGAUUAUUAGUCGAUGAUGUUACAAUGAUAUUGAAACACUUUCUGCAUUGUAUUUUCAAUAUCCAAUCAUGACUGCAGAUUGAUGUCAAUCAUCUGCGGUAACCUUUCUAAAUCCAUUCAAUCAAUAAUUCAAUCAGGAGGCAAGACAGCCUUUUCAUUGUUGUUGCACAUCAAUCAGUGUUGCUGCCCCAUCAGGACUUUUGAAGAACUCCCCUAUUAAAUCACCGCUACCAAACUGAAAUCGAACAGGAGAAAGCAAUUCAAAUUGCCUGGCCGACGAGCAAGAGGAGCUCUGCACCUGACACACUCACCACGAAGCGAAUUCUGCUAUUGGCCAUAGGCCUAGCUGUUGACCUUAUGGCUUUUCCCCGCUUUUCCCGCAUUUCCCGCUUGCGCCGUUCUGUUUCUCUUUGCAUUUUAAGCCAGGACUUUCUUGCUUCUGCAAUUUUUUAUCUUCAACAAGAUUUAUGCGGCUUUGUGUCAUAAUUCCUAGCGCUCUACUCGUUGUAUUUCCCCCCUUCUUUUUUUUACUCUCUCGUUUUGGUGUAAACUUAUGUCGUAUUCAGGCGACAUCGGAAGAUAUAGAACAAAAGUGAAGGGGACGGCCAAAGUUGUUCAAGUUUUUGGCGCUGCCGUUGUAGCUGAUUCAUUUUUCACCUUUUAGUGUUCAUUAUUUAUUUGUUUCUUGUGCAUUACCUAUAAGCUAGCCUUCUUCAUUUGCGCAACUCCGAAUGCGUUUCAAUGUCCCACUUUUGCGCAUGAAAUGGAAAUUUGGCUUUGUGUUCGCCUUAUGUUUAAGGCCAAAAUGCCACACACACGACAUUUAUUAGGUUCUUUGCGAAAUCCAGUCUUGAUAUCCUUGUGGAUUGCGUUUUCAGGGAUUCUGGUUGAGUCAUAAAAAUGUUGUAAAAAUGAACAGGAUUUAAUUAGCACAAUAAAUGCAACAAAUUUGCAGUGUUACUAAAUUACAUAUAUACAAAGCAUAUUAGUGACUAGGCUGAACAACAAAUUCGUAAUAGUAUUAGAAAUGUUAGUAAGUCUUUUUCCUCUUGAUUAGAAAUAAGUGUGUAAACAAACUGCCCCACUUAAGUGGCGUCACUAAUGUAUUUCGAGCAUUUCCUGCUAAUUUUUCGACAUAAACAUUUUGUCUCCCCAUUUUGCGUCAGUCACAAAGUCAUCGCCGAAAAUAUGCCAGAAGCUCAAUUUGCCUUUUGGAAAAACGUCGUUUGCCCACCAUGAAUCACCCUUAAGUCUUGCCACCCGGGCAAUUAUAUGGCCAGUCCAACCCGCAUUUGACGCCCAGCCGAGGAGCUGCAAACGAAAAUUUCAUCAAAAUCUGUCACCCACUUAACCCCAUGAUGAUGACGAUGUCGUGUUUGCUGUUGCUCUUGCCCCAUUGUGUUUGUUGUUCUUCGCCUUUCCAGCUUUGUUGUGCACAUUAAUUUUGACGAAAACAAUUUCAUUUAACGGCAUUUCCGGCAGCAGCAGCAGCACACAUCGCUUCGCUAGACAGCGACACAACUACGACAUUUUAACCGAAAGACAGGCAGAAACCCAAGCCCGGAGCCAAACACAAACCCAAACCGAAACACACAAGUUGGCUGACAAGAUGAGUUAACCAGGCGCAUAACAAUAUAAGUAUGUGGUGGAUACAAUGGCGAGAAGGAGUAGCAACCCUUUGGCAGGAGCAUCUGGGCCUGGUCAAUGCAUUUCCCGGCUCCACUUGAUUGUAUUGUCAUUGUCAGGACUUUUGAGUAGUUGACCAUGAUGGUGGAGCCACGUAAUUCACACUACUUGAAAAGGGGUUGAUGAUAUUCUAAGUGGAGAACCAAUAGGGAAUACAAAUUGAUAAGAAAGUUGUCCACAUUGAUGAUGACUAUGUGGUGUCACAAUAAAAAAAAUGUAUAUUUUAUAAUGAAUAAUGCUGGAAUUUACGUAUUUUAAACUAGAGACACUAGAAGAAUCUGGUUCAGCUUGAAUGCAUUCCAAGGCCAUUAGUACUCAGUACUGGUAAGGGUAUUUCCGCGUCGUUUUGACCGCCUGAGCUAGAUGAUCUCAGCAUUCCUCGUGCUUAUACAUUUGCCAUAUUUGAAAUUCCCAUUAUGCUCCCUAGCUGCGUCCGACUGCUCCGCUGGCUGGUGUCCUGGUGUCUAGUGUCUUGUAAGGGGAAGUUGUGUCUAACACGCACGUACGACCCGUGGCAUGACCCUGCACCACACCCACCCCUCCUCAGUGAUCCCACCCUGCUCAACCGACUUGACUGGAUGUUUUGCUCAAUAUGCCAGUCAGUCACUUGGCCGGGAAAACAUGGCCAAAAGCGGUGGGGUGGUGGCAAGUGGUUGUAGCGUAGACAUUUGGCGAAAUGAUUUUCAUAUUUUGCGUGCGAGGGAGAGGAACUGGCUCUUGGGCGAUGCGAACUCACAUUCUAAUGCGAAAUGAGCUCACACCACCGAGGAAAUUUGAUUUGAACGACGAGUGGGUUAACGCUCACCCCUUCAGCGAGAUGCGAAUUAAUGAGGCGUGUCUCACUUAUGUUUUGUUGCCUGUGUCAAUAUACUCGCAAUAAUAUUAUCGUUAUUGUUAUUUAUUAUGGCUGCUGCAUAUUUACCCAGUGGCCACGCCCCGCAGUUUAUGGCCUUGAUGGUUGGCGGGCGUAAGCCGCUUAAAUAAUUAGUUAAUUGAUUUCGCUGGCCACUCUGGAAAUUGUGGAAUUAUUUUACGUUUUUUCCAGCGGUUUUCACGCAAAUUAUCAUAUGUGUAAAAUUCUUUAGUUUUUAGUUUUGAUCAGUUUUGGUUUUGCUAUUUAAUUAGGGGUUUUGUGGAAUAGUUAGGCGGUAUGGCAAUUUCAAAUUGAACAACGCAGCAUAAGCAUAUCUAGAUCGUAGAGUUUAAGCCUGAAUGAUAUAUGAUUUGCACUUAAAAUGCAUUCCUACCUUCGAAUGGCAAUAAAAUCGUUGACUGCUUGUCGAGAAUUUACUCUUAAUUCCUUUAUUUAUUUAGCUGCGUUUUGAAACUUAAUUCUCCAGCACUCCAUCUCCAGGCAGUCCCUCCCCUUUACCCCCGCUCCAUUAUCAACAUCAUCUUCGACUUUUGUCUCGCUCUUCUCCAUGGCAACCGCAAACAGUUUAACGCGACCACAGCGUCCACGGUUGUAAUCAACUGCCACUCGUCCUGCGGCAAUCGACAGUGGGCCCCAGCUUUAAAUUACGUAUCAAAUGGCAGUCGUUAAUGAACAGUAACGAAAAUAGAAUGAACACCAAAUGAACAGCAAGCAAAAUGAACAGAAAAUAUUCAAAUGAACACAAAGGAAGAUGAGCACUAAGCAAGAUGAACACCAAACAUAAUGAACACCUGUAUUUAUUUUAAAAAUAUUUACACAAAAUGUAUAUUUCUUUCGAAAAUCAAGUGAAGCGCAUCCACUGUUCGUUCUGCUUACAAUUUGUUUACGUUAGCGCUGCGUUCGCAUUAAAGGCUACGCGGUUCUUUAUUUAUGGCCAUCAAUAUUUUAUGACGCGCAACGCGCAUGAAAAGCCAAGGGAAACCGAGAGGAAAAGGAGCGGAGUAGAUCGGAGAAGUGCCUGGACAGACGUAAGCAUGCUGUGCGCUGGGAAAGCAAGUUAGUUACCCGGUUCCCCCCGCAGCUAGCACUUAAAGCAUAAACGCAAUUAAGAAAAAAUAAGUGAAAAAGCCAAGUCGAAGGACCAAGGACCAAGGACGAACACAGGCGAAGAUGGCGAAGGAAAACUCUUUGCAAAUUAGUUUAAUUAUCGGGAAAUGCAAACAAAGCGACGCUAAAAGUGUGCGCAUUCCAUUUACUACUCAAACAACCCUCGCUGGAGUUAGCCAUGUGUGAUGCUGAUUAUAGCAUCAUCUGCUAAUUCCAGUUGCCUUAAUUAAUAUUUAUAGGCUGCCGUUUCUUCAGAUAAUCAAAGCAAACUCUCUCUACCGAAACUCUCCAAAAUUGUAGCCAACACAUAAUUGAUGGCGGGAAUUUUUAGUUUAUUUGUAUACAUUCUAUACAAUGGAAAAUAUUAAGCAUAAUUUAUGCGGAAAUAUUAAAAAUAACGACACAAAGUAAAUUCCAAAUCUUCAUACAAAUUGCAAGGAAGAAAAUAGUGGAAACUGCGAAGAAUUGCUAUUGCAGUAAUCCGCAGUGAGGAGAUGAAGGCAACCGGAAAUGACUGUUUGCUGUUACAACUGGGUGGUCGCAGUGUGUGGUGGUUGCAGCUUUAAGAGCUGGACAAACAAUCUAUUACUUCGAGCUCAGAUACUAACAAACCAAACAGUAUGCAGUAGUCAGUUCAAAGGCCUGUAUGGCAUUAUUUCAUUGGCCUUUUUGGCGGCCCAGCAAAUUGUUCCUGCCCACGCUCCCUAAAAACAGUUUCAUUGGCAUUUAUGCGCUUAAUUGUGUUUUGUUGCAAUGUGGUGGUGCACAUGGGAAUGAAAAGCCAACUCCUAAUGUCAGCCCUAAAGCAUACAGUAGUGCAACGUGUGGUGGCGAUGGCUGGACCACAAGAAUCCCCAUUACCCACACGCCCUGUUGUUCCGGGGAUAGCUGGCCAUAUCCACAUCCACAUCAUCCUGUGUCGGUGGCGCCAAAGCGUCCGCAUAAGUUUGUUUUUAAUGUAACCUUGUUAACAGCAGUCUGCGUGGCACACCCCACCACCCAACUCAAUAUAUAUAUAUAUCUAUAUAUGUAUGUAUAUAGAUGACUAUAUGGCCAACAGGUCGAUGAAUUGCAUUAGCUGGCUGCUAAUAAAAGGAUCCUGUUACUCGCGCGGUUUUGGGUUCAAUAACAUGGCGGCAUGCAAUUAAAAUAUUUUAGCAUUACGCAUACGCACCGUUGAUCUCUGUUGAAAUUUCGCAAUCAUAGAGAUUUUAACUCAAUUUCUGCUAUAUUGUAUGUAGUUACGUUUUACAUUUAGAUAAAAAUGAUGUUAAACAUUAAACAGGGAGCUAACUGAAUUAAAUACUAACAGACAAUACAAGCGGCCCAAUUAUAAAUAGCUAUCCCUUAUCCUCCUGCACAGUGGGCAUAGUUCUGUCGAUAAAGCGAAGAACUCGUAUCUCUAUCUGUCUGUAUUGUCGAGCACUGGUCUUAUCACCUCCAUAUCCCCCUCGCAAAGCCCCAAAACAAAACAGAAGAGAAGAGAAGUGUGGAGAAGAGUGGAGAAGAGAAAAGAAUGCGAGGGAGCAGGGCGCACAUGUUGCAGAAAAGCAGCGUAGAAAAUACAAUAAAUUACGACAGAUAAACAAGGGAAAACUGGCGGAGCGAGCACACAAAAUACAAAUGCGGAAAAGUGAUGGCGAAGAAAAUAAAUAAAUAGGGAAAAUAAAAGUUUGCUUUUCGCUGUAUUUACUUGGCUGUUUUCCUUAUUGCGGCUACGAAAAUUAUCAUUUUAAGUUUUCUUUUUUAUCGUCGUUUUGUUUGAUUUCGUUCAUUUCCCCAUAAAUAAUAUGCCCAUAAUUUCUGAAUCAUCCAUAAUAAUUUAUUGUACCAUUCGAUUUGAAGUUAAUAGUAAGUUAAGGAAAGUCAACUAAAAAUGCACAAAGUUUUUUGAAUUUAGUUAAUAUUUUAAAGUGAAAAGUUUCUCUUAAAUUAUGACAACCUUUUACAUGUCACGUUUUCUAGAAUUUAGUGUAAUAAUUGCAUUCAAACCUUUCCUUUUUGUCACGUUCUAAAAUCCCAUGAAAAGAAGUACGUUUAAACGAAAAAGGUAGCAUAGUUAAAUUUAUAACUUUUACUUUUUAUUGCUGUAUAUAUUUAUUUCCUUUGGAGUUUUCUGCGCACAACGGAAACCAUAAACAUGUUUGUUGCGCUUGUUUUUCCUCACGUUGUUGUGAUUUUUCACAAUUUAAUUGAAAUUAAUUGAUUAAUGUUGAAAACGUUUUUAUUGCCCAGCGAUUGCUGAUGGUUUCCGUUGUUAUUGCCGUUCUGCUGUUUUGGGGCUGCCAUUUUCCAACUUGUUGAAAGUUUACCCUCCCCCCUCCCCUUCGGGUUGCCCCUUCCCUUGCCUCACCAAUAGUUUUCCCUUAACAAAUUGCGCGAUAAUUUAUUGCGAGAGCGAAGAAGACAACGGCGGGGGACCUCAUCAGUUUUGUAAUUAUCUCGGUCUCGCCAUCUCACUCACACCGGCGUUUCUCUCUCUCUUUCGCACACACAGAAGAUGAAUUAGUUACGUUUUGGCAGCGGUACGCGAUUUGCGGUCAAGUUGAGGAUGCCAAACAAAUUUACGCCCGAAACUGAACUCGUGUAAUGAAAACAGCAUUAAAUAUGAAUGGCAUCGCUUGUGGGAUUAUUCGGGUUCAUCAUUUAUUGAUUCCACCUACAGCAGGUAAACUGGGUAAACUGGUCUCAAAAAUCUGCUCUCCAUACUAAAGCAUAACAUAAUUUUGAUUUCGAUUUGGGCCUCGUCUGAGAACUGAGACGCAAAUGCAUUCGGAGCAGAACUUGUGCAUAACUGAAUAGUUUUCAUUAAGUUAAUUGAUUUGGCCGCAAGGUGGACAGAAAGCAGAGCAAAUACUAUCAGUUUAAGCCAUUUGGGGCAAAGCAUUUGCACUGCUUUGAACUUGUGAGCGUUGUGAGUAGAAAUUCAAAUUAGAUUUGUGCAUAGGAAUUUUAAAUUUUAAAUGAUAUGUAUUUAAAUGAAGCGUUUUUGAACAGCUCUGAAAGUGAUUUCGAAACGCCAUUGAUUUCCGCUCAAUGAACUCAUUAUAUUCGCCUCUUAAAACACCAUUUCUUUUUUGUGUUCAACCCUUAACCACCACGAACACAAACCACACUUAAGCACACGAAUAUGGAGCCAUAAAAGAGCAUGUACCGCAAAUCGCUUAUAUCACUCAGCAGCGCCUAAAAGCGGGCAACGAAAAACAAUUUAAAGUUACAUCGACAACUUUAAUGGCCCAAAGGGCAAAAAGAUGGCCAUUACGAGGAGGCGGCUAGAAAGUGGGGGGAAUAAAAAGAGGCAGACAUACAUAUAAAAAGGAGAUGGACAGACCGACAUAGGGAUUCGGAUUGGGAUUGGGAUUGGGAUUCGGAUUCGCGCACAUGUGUUGCCAAACGCAGGACUGCCAAGCAAAGCUAUCUGCUUGGGCAUAUACUAUAUAUGUAUGUAUGUGGCGGAUACACACUUACGAACUUGCCUCCGAAAGGGGCAACGAGUUUAGUGGGGGCGUGGCACAUUCGGUGGACGGUCGCGCGACGCACGAGUAAGUUGUCAAAAACAGCGGCAGUGGCAACGGCGGCGGCAGACCCAAAGCGCCAAAAAAUGUUGCCCCAACUAUCAAAGCGAAACUUUUGUGAAAUAGAGAGAGGACGAUAUAAUGUAGAUUAUACACGGACAAACUUAAAGAGGAAGUGCCAGCCAGGAACCACCACCACCAACACCACCACCACUGCAUCCAUGUGUGUGUUUUGGCCAUGGUGAUGGAGCAGUAGAUAAAAGAGCAAAACUCCCAGCCAACUUUAGAUACAUUUAUUUCAAAUGUAGUCACGGCAACAGAGUAACUAACUCAACCGACCAGCAUUCGGAUGAAAAGGAGGAGAGCACAAAAUAAGGCAGCUUGGUGGUCAAUUAUAAUGUUAACUGGAUGUCGAUAGCUGGCAUUAACCCCGACUUGGUUAAAAUGGAAUCCUAUCAUGUUCAUUUCCAAAGUAAUUUACUUACAGCAAGGUGAAAGAUUUCCGUUAAAGGAUUAACCACUCUUUAUCAGGAUAACAAGCGAGCGAGAGCUUUUCAUUUUUAACCCCCCAGUUAAAUGAUUAAGCAGUGCCUGUCCAACUGUAGACUGGCAAUCAACAGUGGCAACAACAACAACAACAGCAACAACAACAAAAUGUGGAACAAACAAUUGUUGCCAACCGCAAAACUUUUGUCGCUCGUCACUGGCUUUUGUUGAAAAUAAUA